rnacentral:tRNA from 1 species
GCGCGGGUGGCGAAAUUGGUAGACGCAUGGGACUUAAAAUUCCAAGCUCGCAAGGGCGUGCGGGUUCGAUUCCCGCCCCGCGCACCA